UGCGGUUACACAAAAAUUAAAAUAAAUUUUUUUAGUAAUUAAUUAAUAAUAAAUAAAAUAUUAAUUUAAAUUUUAAUUUAUUAAGUGAAAUUUUAAUUUAAAUAAAAAUUAUUUUUAUGAAAUUAAUAAAUUUUAGGUAUAGACUAGGAUUAGAUACCCUAUUAUUAAAAAAUUAAAUUUAAUAUACUAAAAUAUUAAGUAGAUUAUUGAAACUUAAAUAAUUUGGCGGUAUUUUAGUUCAUUUAGAGGAAUCUGUCUAAUAAUUGAUAGUCCACGAAUAAAUUUACUUAAUUUAUUAUUUUGUAUAUCGUUGUUAAAAAAAUAUUUUUUAAUAAUUAAUAAUAUUUUAGAAUUUUAAAAAUAAAUUAAAUCAGAUCAAGAUGCAGAUUAUAAUUAAGAAUAUGAUGGAUUACAAUAAAGUUAUUUAAGUGAAAAUUAAAUUGAAAUAUUUAAUUGAAAAUGGAUUUAAAUGUAAUUUUUUUUAAUUUAAAAAAAUGAUUAAUAAUUAAAAUAUGUACAUAUUGCCCGUCGCUUUCAUUUUAAAAUUGAAAUAAGUCGUAACAAAGUAGAGGUACUGGAAAGUGUUUCUAGAAAGAG
rnacentral:rRNA from 1 species